rnacentral:lncRNA from 1 species
ACCUUAUCCCAUCUGAAGGCCAUCCACCAUCUUCACCUAUCUGAAGCCCCACAUCCCAUCCGAAGACCCCAACACGCCGUCCGAAAUCCCUCUGCCGCCACCGCUCCUUCUUCCUCCUCUGCGAGCACCUCUACCUCCUCUCAUCCUCCCUAUCUUAUCCUCUCAUCCUACCGCCACUGCAGCCCCCUUCUUUCCAGUCGCCACGUAUUCUUCCCCGACCGCA